rnacentral:lncRNA from 1 species
AAAAAACAAACAUCAUUUGACAUCAAGUUUCUAAUUAAAUCAUGGCUGCAACUGGGCAGCGUUAUUAUAAUAGUGAAGGUGGACGUGCUGCUACUUCCCUCAUUCCCAACAUGAAUCAAAUACCUGCAUUGAGUAAUGCAAGAGUGAGAUGAUACAUCUCAGCAAGCAAAUUAUUUUGACGAGAUAUUUAAACCACAAAUUGAAUUAAACAACAUUUUAAAGGAAUCCCAAUUGAGAUCAGAAAUACUUGUAGAUAUAGAACUCAAUAGUCCCAAUAUAACCAAUACCAUCUCAUUUCCUCGAACAACCACAAUAGGUUGUAUAACCCUUCCCUGCGUCAACAAUACCUGCAGAUAUCACUUCAAUGUAUGCAUAGGAAUGCAAUGUGUAGGUCAUAUCCCCUCAUACCUCUGAGAGUAUAAAACCACAUCAUCUGCUAAUAUCACUUCAAUGAAUGCAUAUAAAUGCAAUGCAUAUGUCCUCUGCCUUCAUACCUCUAAGGGUAUGAAACCGCAUCGUACCCCUCCUCGGGCAACGUACGAUGCUAAGUUGUACCGGUACGGUCGGACCAUAGGUCACGACCAAACUUCAGAUGCAAAUGAAUAAUGUAAUGCAUAUGGCAUGCUGCAUUUAUCAAUAUACUUCACUUCCUACAGAUACAAAACAAACCUCAAAUAAUACUUCAUCUGCCUUCAGAUACAAUACAAACCUCAAAUAAUACUUUAUCUGCCUUCAGGGGUGUAAAUUAAUCUCAUGGGUCAUACUCGAACCAUAAUCAUCAUCAAUAUAUGAUUGAGCAUCAGUAUAAUACAAGCAAGUAAAGCAUCACCAUAGAGUUCAAUUAUGAAAGAAUUCCAUAAUUCUGAAUAUUAGAGCGUAGGCGAUAAAAAAAACAACAAGUCAAAACGGUAGCAACCACUGCUACAUUCACUUGCCUUCAUCGAAGAAGAAAGGUGUACUAGGCAUGAUCCGGAGUGUAGCCACCUGCUAGCGGGCAUAAAAAUUAGUACAAAUAUUUCACAAACAUUUGCUAACAAUCAACAAAUCGCUCGUACACUUGAAACCAAAUCCCGGUGGAAAGACUCCCACCCUGAACCACAUGCCAAACAGCAGCAGCGCUGUUUGUUAAUUUUGUAUCUUUAAAAUUAUAACAGUGGUGAUAUUAAACAAAUACUCUAUGAGUGUCUACACAAAAUAUUCUAUAACUUUGGUAUUCAAUGGAUAAUUAAAUUCUGCCAUCUAUAAGUUCUAAAACAUCUGAUAAGAUAAAUGUCUGAAUCUGUUUCAGACAGCAGCAUAGUUAACUUCAAAAUUCAAUAUCUACCAAACUACUCAACCAAAAAUUAUGAAAUUCUGCUGGCAGUAAGAACUUUUAUCCCUCUACAAAUGUCGCCAUAGUUGGAACAGCCAAUUUGGCUAUUUACUAUAUGAAACCCACCAGUGAACAGACCCGCUCAUUUUUGUCAGGCAAACAGGAACAGCCACAGUAAAACAAACAUAACUGGACUUUCAUAAUUCAUAUGAAUGCGCUCUUUAACAAUCUGGAAAGCUUAUAAAAUUGUCUACAACUUCUUUUACAAUCCUAAAGUUUAAUUCUGUUGAUAAAAUUGCCUAAAGCUUAAGAGAACAGAUUCUGUACAGAAUUAUGAGACUGAAAAACUGCUAUAAUCAAACUGCAAUAACUUUCUGAUCUGAUAUCCGAUUGAGGUGUUCUUAGCGGCCACGGAAAGAUCUACAAAUUAUCUACGACUCAUAGAUAGACUUUUUAUUUUUUUGAGGCCACUAAGACCACAGAAAACUGGCAUGAACAGAAACUAUUGAAUCUGCCAUUCUGCAGAAACUAAUUUCGAGAUUAAAAUCUAAUCUCCCAUCCAAUCUAACCAAAACAACUAAUUGCAGGGCCUAAAACUCAUCCAAAACAAGGGAAAGCAUUCAUCAAGUGGAUAAAAGAGAGAGAGGAAAGGAAAUCCAACCAAUUCUUGGAGAGGAACGACGAUGAUGGGCGACGGUAUGCCCUCAUCUCCCCUCUCUUCUCUUCUUUUUUCUUCCUCUCUUCCCUUGGGGCAAGGCACAAAAGGG